GGAGUAAAGCUUGCCGUGAGAAGUCAGCAGAGGUCAUAGUACCCAAGGCAUGUGUGCCUAUAGGGAAGGAC
rfam:Prevotella sp. CAG:520 genomic scaffold, scf182